rnacentral:rRNA from 1 species
GGGAUUGCCUCAGUAACGGCGAGUGAAGCGGCAACAGCUCAAAUUUGAAAGCCCGCGGGCGUUGUAAUUUGCAGGCGGAUGUUUUGGGGCGGGCGCUGUCUACGUUCCUUGGAACAGGACGCCGCAGAGGGUGAGAGCCCCGUGCGAUGGCGCCUCCAACCGCGUAAAACUCCGCCGACGAGUCGAGUUGUUUGGGAAUGCAGCUCCAAGUGGGUGGUAAAUUCCAUCUAAAGCUAAAUACUGGCGAGAGACCGAUAGCGAACAAGUACAGUGAUGGAAAGAUGAAAAGCACUUUGAAAAGAGAGUGAAACAGCACGUGAAAUUGUUGAAAGGGAAGGGUAUGCGAUUAGCGGCCAGCAGGAGGUGCCUUCUCGUGAAAAGGCCGUGCACCGUCUUCGGACACCGUGCGCGGAGAUGGCGAGGGGGCGCCUGAGGUCUGCGACUCGAGGUUGCUGGCGUAAUGAUUGCAUACCACCCGUCUUGAAACACGGACC